UACAGGGGGUGCAAACGUUGCUCGGAAUUAUUGGGCGUAAAGCGCGCGUAGGCGGCUAUUUAAGUCGGAUGUGAAAGCCCUUGGCUCAACUGAGGAAGUGCACCCGAAACUGAAUGGCUUGAGUACCAAAGAGGGUCGCGGAAUUCCCGGUGUAGCGGUGAAAUGCGCAGAUAUCGGGAAGAACACCCGUGGCGAAGGCGGCUCUCUGGGACGGUACUGACGCUGAGACGCGAAAGCGUGGGGAGCGAACAGG
rnacentral:rRNA from 1 species